AAGUAGCUCUACAUAAACACAGAAACAAACACAGGGAAGCUGCCAAAAUGAGGGCACAGAGAAAUAUAGCCCCAUUGAAAGAAUAAAACAAAACUCCAGAAAAAGAAUUAAACAAAACAUAGAUAACCAACCUAUGAGAUGCAGAGUUCAAAACACUGCUUAUAAGGAUACUCAGUGAACUCACUCAGUAUGGCAAUAGCAUGAUAAAGACCUAGGCAGAAAUGAAGGUUACAUUAAGUGAAAUAAAGAAUAAUCUACAUGGAACCAAUAGUGGAGUGGGUAAAACUGAGUAUCAAGUCAAUAAAUUGGAAUAUAACGAAG